ensembl:snoRNA
GUGACUGUUCUUGGUAAUGACUGCACUGUUAGUUGUACAGUGCAACCACAGGCAGUCACGUGCUCCAUCAACACAGAUGGUUCCUGCCGACAGGGUCUGUACAGCUAUCAGAUUUUCUGUGCGAUGGUUCCAUACAUG